GGAUAUAGCUCCAUUGGUAGAGUGCUUGCCUAGCAUGCAUAAGGUGCUGGGUUCAAUCUCCAGAGCCA
rnacentral:tRNA from 1 species